GAUGAACGCUAGCGGCAGGCUUAAUACAUACAAGUCGUGGGGCAGCAUGAGUAGCAAUACUUGAUGGCGACCGGCAAACGGGUGCGGAACACGUACACAACCUUCCGAUAAGUGGGGAAUAGCCCAGAGAAAUUUGGAUUAAUACCCCGUAACAUAUAGAGUAGGCAUCUUCUUUAUAUUAUAGCUUCGGCGCUUAUUGAUGGGUGUGCGUCUGAUUAGGUAGUUGGCGGGGUAACGGCCCACCAAGCCUACGAUCAGUAGCUGAUGUGAGAGCAUGAUCAGCCACACGGGCACUGAGACACGGGCCCGACUCCUACGGGAGGCAGCAGUAAGGAAUAUUGGACAAUGGGCGAAAGCCUGAUCCAGCCAUUCCGCGUGCAGGAUGAGGGCCCUCGGGUUGUAAACUGCUUUUGUACAGAACGAAAAGGUUUCUACUAAUACUAGGAGCUCAUGACGGUACUGUAAGAAUAAGCACCGGCUAACUACGUGCCAGCCGCCGCCGUAA
rnacentral:rRNA from 1 species